ensembl:lncRNA
AUUGUAGUGAAAUAUGAAGAAACCAGAGUUCAAAGAAGAGUAUAAACAAAUAUGGUGGUGAUGUUGCUCAACUGGCAAUUUCUCUUAUCAACAGACUAUAUGGACUGAUAGCUGAAGAACGUAGUAGGGGUAAAACAAACAAGCAGGUAGCAGCAAACUCUUACAUUCUUAUUUUCCAGCCACCAUACCAGCCUUAAUAACAGUUCAGAGAAAAGCUGGGAAGCACUAACUGAAGAAGGCACACGCUACAUUCUCGUUGAGAACUCGCACAAGGCUCCUCUCCAGAUUCAGGACUACAGUAUACCAAAGAUAACUUCCUUCAAUUUCUGAGUGAAGCGUGAAUUUAACUUCAUUUUCAGAGAUACACAUCUGCUGAGCAAAUACAUUUAACAGAGUAAACUGCAAGUCGAAUCAAAGAUGCAGAACUGUUUCUGAGUAAACAAGUUGACAGAGGAAAGGUCAGAUCACUAAAGAAUAAACCUGCUGAGAUUCUUUCCUGUAACUGAGAUUCAGCAGAGAGGUUUAUAUCUUGGGACUGAAGAAAUACACAAUCAAAGACAAGAAAUCAGACAAGAAUCUCAUUUGCAUGUUCUCAAAGACAACAUGAUAUUCUGCUUCCUGUGGCUUUUAAAUGGUGCAAAGUUAACCUUAGCUGUCCCUGCAAAAAUAUUUCACUUGCAUUUUCAAGUUGCCAGAACUUCCUUGCAACAGAACAAGCACAUUUGAAAUACACUUCACAGAUGGAUGAAGCAACAGAAAAUUCUCCUGCCUCCCUUUUGCUAAGACUUCAAAAAAUAUCACUUUCCUGGGGAGAUCCAGAAACCACUCGAACUUACCUCACUGCAGCAUUUGCAUUGAAGAUAUUAUUGUAUUCUAUUCUAAAUAUCACGUGAAUACGAGACCUGGAGCUAUACAAGAAUUUCUCCUUUUUUUCCUUUUUCAAUCUCAUUAGCAUUGCCUCUACCAUCUCUCAGGGGGGCUACCCUAGUUCUCUCAGGUCAGCUUCAACUCUUCUCCUUCUUACAACGCUUCACUUUGAGCAAGAGAAUUAACAACAGUAGUUAUUCUCCACAUUAUAAAAUAACUGGUCAUGUCACAUUUAAACAUGUUGUUUGAUUUUCCCAUUGCGCAAAAUUACUGGGUAAAUGGGAGGGAAAAAGGGAGGCAUCACUGCUGAAUUGUCAUGCAUGUGCUAAAAAACCCUCAUGAUUGUAAGACCCAACAGGUUUUCUUUCUGCUGAACUGGGACCUAUUUAAAGCAAAAUGAUACAUUUAAAAUGAUUUCCUAGUGGAUUCAAUUAGAGAAAUAAAUUAAUGACUGCUAUUAAAUAAAACA